ACUGAGACAAGAGUCACAUCUCUGCACUUCAGUGGCUUUGGUGUGCUUGAGAUCUCAUAAAGUGUUUGCUGAACUUUAUUCACUGGUUGGUUUUCCAUGUAGCUCAACCAGUCACCGGCGCAGCAACAUCU